rnacentral:rRNA from 1 species
UACGUAGGGGGCAAGCGUUUAUCCGGAUUUAUUGGGCGUAAAGAGCUCGUAGGCGGCCGUUCGCGUCGGAUGUGAAAGCUCAGGGCUCAACUCUGAGAUGCCAUUCGAUACGGGACGGCUAGAGGUAGGUAGGGGAGAGUGGAAUUCCUGGUGUAGCGGUGAAAUGCGCAGAUAUCAGGAGGAACACCGGUGGCGAAGGCGGCUCUCUGGGCCUUACCUGACGCUGAGGAGCGAAAGCUGGGGGAGCGAACAGG